rnacentral:rRNA from 1 species
AGGGUUUGAUUAUGGCUCAGGAUGAACGCUAGCGGCAGGCUUAACACAUGCAAGUCGAGGGGUAACAGGAGGUGCUUGCACUUCGCUGACGACCGGCGCACGGGUGCGUAACGCGUAUACAAUCUACCUUUUGCUGAGGGAUAGCCCAGAGAAAUUUGGAUUAAUACCUCAUGGUAUGUAGUAAUGGCAUCAUUACUAUAUUAAAGGUUACGGCAAAAGAUGAGUAUGCGUUCUAUUAGCUAGAUGGUAAGGUAACGGCUUACCAUGGCGACGAUAGAUAGGGGCCCUGAGAGGGGGAUCCCCCACACUGGUACUGAGACACGGACCAGACUCCUACGGGAGGCAGCAGUGAGGAAUAUUGGACAAUGGGCGCAAGCCUGAUCCAGCCAUGCCGCGUGCAGGAAGACUGCCCUAUGGGUUGUAAACUGCUUUUAUACAGGAAGAAACACUCCCUCGUGAGGGAGCUUGACGGUACUGUAAGAAUAAGGAUCGGCUAACUCCGUGCCAGCA